AUGAGACCCAAAGACAUCGCGCCAAAUAUUUUUGCGAUCUCUGCAAGAAAAAACUGCACUGUCCAGAAGGCCUUACAUAAUAACUCAUGGGUCUCCGGAGUGGACAUUGGCGGGAACCUUGAUGUGAACCACAUAGCAGAGUUCGUCAACCUUUGGAGUGAGCUAUCACGCAUUCAACUCAACCCCGGUGUGGCUGAUUCAAUCUCCUGGAAGCUCACCAAUGAUGGCCAAUAUUCGGCGGCAACGGCAUACCGUGCACAAUUUCUUGGCCUUAUCGACUCAGAUAUGCCUCUUUUGGUGUGGAAGAAUUGGGCUCCUCCCAAAUGCAAUUUUUUUGCUUGGUUGGCCAUCAACAAUAGGAUUUGGACGGCGGACCGGCUUCAGCGCAGGGGCUGGCCCAACUGUAACCUUUGCCCGCUAUGUAAACAAACGCAAGAAUCAGCAGCUCACCUUCUCUUCCAGUGUCGUUACACGGUUAGAGUUUGGGGAAUGAUCAAAACAUGGCUCGGUUUACAUGAUGUCCAUCCUACAGAUUGGGGAGGCAUGGUUUCCGUCAAGGAGUGGUGGCGCAACAUAGCUUCCGGGAGGUCAGAAUUUCGAAGGGCGCUUCUUUCCCUUAUGCUUCUUAUCUCUUGGGAAAUUUGGAAGGAGCGAAAUGCACGUGUGUUCCGCAGCACGGCAAUCCCGGUAGGGGUGCUUGUGACUCGCGUCAAAGCGGAAACUUCCCUGUGGUGCCUCGCGGGGGCGAAAUAUUUGUGUAACAUAAUGCCGCGAGAGUGA
rnacentral:rRNA from 1 species